rnacentral:rRNA from 1 species
GAUGAACGCUGGCGGCGUGCCUAAUACAUGCAAGUCGAGCGAACGGACGAGAAGCUUGCUUCUCUGAUGUUAGCGGCGGACGGGUGAGUAACACGUGGAUAACCUACCUAUAAGACUGGGAUAACUUCGGGAAACCGGAGCUAAUACCGGAUAAUAUUUUGAACCGCAUGGUUCAAAAGUGAAAGACGGUCUUGCUGUCACUUAUAGAUGGAUCCGCGCUGCAUUAGCUAGUUGGUAAGGUAACGGCUUACAAAGGCAACGAUGCAUAGCCGACCUGAGAGGGUGAUCGGCAACACUGGAACUGAGACACGGUCCAGACUCCUACGGGAGGCAGCAGUAGGGAAUCUUACGCAAUGGGCGAAAGCCUGACGGAGCAACGCCGCGUGAGUGAUGAAGGUCUUCGGAUCGUAAAACUCUGUUAUUAGGGAAGAACAUAUGUGUAAGUAACUGUGCACAUAUUGACGGUACCUAAUCAGAAAGCCACGGCUAACUACGUG